GGGGCUAUAGCUCAGCUGGCUAGAGCGCUUGCAUGGCAUGCAAGAGGUCGAGGGUUCAAGUCCCUCUAGCUCCACCA
rnacentral:tRNA from 2 species